rnacentral:rRNA from 2 species
UUAAGCGACUAAGCGUACACGGUGGAUGCCCUGGCAGUCAGAGGCGAUGAAGGACGUGCUAAUCUGCGAAAAGCGUCGGUAAGGUGAUAUGAACCGUUAUAACCGGCGAUGUCCGAAUGGGGAAACCCAGUGCAAUUCGUUGCACUAUCGUUAACUGAAUACAUAGGUUAACGAGGCGAACCGGGGGAACUGAAACAUCUAAGUACCCCGAGGAAAAGAAAUCAACCGAGAUUCCCCCAGUAGCGGCGAGCGAACGGGGAGCAGCCCAGAGUCUGAAUCAGCUUGUGUGUUAGUGGAACGGUCUGGAAAGUCCGACGGUACAGGGUGAUAGUCCCGUACACCAAAAUGCACAGGCUGUGAACUCGAAGAGUAGGGCGGGACACGUGGUAUCCUGUCUGAAUAUGGGGGGACCAUCCUCCAAGGCUAAAUACUCCUGACUGACCGAUAGUGAACCAGUACCGUGAGGGAAAGGCGAAAAGAACCCCGGCGAGGGGAGUGAAAAAGAACCUGAAACCGUGUACGUACAAGCAGUGGGAGCACCUUCGGGUGUGACUGCGUACCUUUUGUAUAAUGGGUCAGCGACUUAUAUUCUGUAGCAAGGUUAACCGUAUAGGGGAGCCGCAGGGAAACCGAGUCUUAACUGGGCGUUAAGUUGCAGGGUAUAGACCCGAAACCCGGUGAUCUAGCCAUGGGCAGGUUGAAGGUUGGGUAACACUAACUGGAGGACCGAACCGACUAAUGUUGAAAAAUUAGCGGAUGACUUGUGGCUGGGGGUGAAAGGCCAAUCAAACCGGGAGAUAGCUGGUUCUCCCCGAAAGCUAUUUAGGUAGCGCCUCGUGAACUCAUCUUCGGGGGUAGAGCACUGUUUCGGCUAGGGGGUCAUCCCGACUUACCAACCCGAUGCAAACUACGAAUACCGAAGAAUGUUAUCACGGGAGACACACGGCGGGUGCUAACGUCCGUCGUGAAGAGGGAAACAACCCAGACCGCCAGCUAAGGUCCCAAAGUCAUGGUUAAGUGGGAAACGAUGUGGGAAGGCACAGACAGCCAGGAUGUUGGCUUAGAAGCAGCCAUCAUUUAAAGAAAGCGUAAUAGCUCACUGGUCGAGUCGGCCUGCGCGGAAGAUGUAACGGGGCUAAACCAUGCACCGAAGCUGCGGCAGCGACACUAUGUGUUGUUGGGUAGGGGAGCGUUCUGUAAGCCUGCGAAGGUGGCCUGUGAGGGCUGCUGGAGGUAUCAGAAGUGCGAAUGCUGACAUAAGUAACGAUAAAGCGGGUGAAAAGCCCGCUCGCCGGAAGACCAAGGGUUCCUGUCCAACGUUAAUCGGGGCAGGGUGAGUCGACCCCUAAGGCGAGGCCGAAAGGCGUAGUCGAUGGGAAACAGGUUAAUAUUCCUGUACUUGGUGUUACUGCGAAGGGGGGACGGAGAAGGCUAUGUUAGCCGGGCGACGGUUGUCCCGGUUUAAGCAUGUAGGCGGAGGUUCCAGGUAAAUCCGGUACCUUUUAACGCUGAGGUGUGAUGACGAGGCACUACGGUGCUGAAGUAACAAAUGCCCUGCUUCCAGGAAAAGCCUCUAAGCAUCAGGUAACAUUAAAUCGUACCCCAAACCGACACAGGUGGUCAGGUAGAGAAUACCAAGGCGCUUGAGAGAACUCGGGUGAAGGAACUAGGCAAAAUGGUGCCGUAACUUCGGGAGAAGGCACGCUGGUGUGUAGGUGAAGUCCCUGCGGACGGAGCUGAGACCAGUCGAAGAUACCAGCUGGCUGCAACUGUUUAUUAAAAACACAGCACUGUGCAAACACGAAAGUGGACGUAUACGGUGUGACGCCUGCCCGGUGCCGGAAGGUUAAUUGAUGGGGUUAUCCGUAAGGAGAAGCUCUUGAUCGAAGCCCCGGUAAACGGCGGCCGUAACUAUAACGGUCCUAAGGUAGCGAAAUUCCUUGUCGGGUAAGUUCCGACCUGCACGAAUGGCGUAAUGAUGGCCAGGCUGUCUCCACCCGAGACUCAGUGAAAUUGAACUCGCUGUGAAGAUGCAGUGUACCCGCGGCAAGACGGAAAGACCCCGUGAACCUUUACUAUAGCUUGACACUGAACAUUGAGCCUUGAUGUGUAGGAUAGGUGGGAGGCUUUGAAGCGUGGACGCCAGUCUGCGUGGAGCCAACCUUGAAAUACCACCCUUUAAUGUUUGAUGUUCUAACGUUGGCCCGUAAUCCGGGUUGCGGACAGUGUCUGGUGGGUAGUUUGACUGGGGCGGUCUCCUCCCAAAGAGUAACGGAGGAGCACGAAGGUUAGCUAAUCCUGGUCGGACAUCAGGAGGUUAGUGCAAUGGCAUAAGCUAGCUUGACUGCGAGCGUGACGGCGCGAGCAGGUGCGAAAGCAGGUCAUAGUGAUCCGGUGGUUCUGAAUGGAAGGGCCAUCGCUCAACGGAUAAAAGGUACUCCGGGGAUAACAGGCUGAUACCGCCCAAGAGUUCAUAUCGACGGCGGUGUUUGGCACCUCGAUGUCGGCUCAUCACAUCCUGGGGCUGAAGUAGGUCCCAAGGGUAUGGCUGUUCGCCAUUUAAAGUGGUACGCGAGCUGGGUUUAGAACGUCGUGAGACAGUUCGGUCCCUAUCUGCCGUGGGCGCUGGAGAAUUGAGGGGGGCUGCUCCUAGUACGAGAGGACCGGAGUGGACGCAUCACUGGUGUUCGGGUUGUCAUGCCAAUGGCACUGCCCGGUAGCUAAAUGCGGAAGAGAUAAGUGCUGAAAGCAUCUAAGCACGAAACUUGCCCCGAGAUGAGUUCUCCCUGAGACUUUAAGUCUCCUGAAGGAACGUUGAAGACGACGACGUUGAUAGGCCGGGUGUGUAAGCGCAGCGAUGCGUUGAGCUAACCGGUACUAAUGAACCGUGAGGCUUAACCUU